UUUCAAAUUAAAGUAUAUUACAUUAGCUUUAAUUUAAGAUAUAUAUAAAAGUGUCAGACCUUCCGGAACAUUUUCAAAAGUUAUGUUGAAAAAGUAAAUUUGUUGUGAAAAAGUUGUCAUUUUAAAUCCCCCCCUGUGGGCAGGUUAAGUGUCAGAUUUACAAAAAAAAUAUACCAAAUGAUAAGUAAAGACAUCAAGCAUCUAUAUAAAAAAAAAUUAUAUUGAUAUGUUCAUUUUUGAAAAAGUUAGAGCAUUAUUAAGUUAAAAAUAUAAAAAAAAAUUAUUUUACAAAAAUCGUAAUUUUUUAUUAACUUUGAUGUCAACUUUCACCACGAAGACAAGUCCAGAGGUCAAAUUUUUUUUUUUCAAAUUAAAGUAUAUUACAUAAGCUUCAAUUUAAGAUAUAUAUAAAAGUGUCAGACCUUCCGGAACAUUUUCAAAAGUUAAGUUGAAAAAGUUCUACUUUCUAUAUGCAUUUUUUAUAUUUGAAGCCCCCCCAUAUAUAGGGAAAUAGUCUGAUUUAAAAAAAAAGUAUAUCCAAUGAAAGAUGUAUAUAAAUACUACUUCUCAUGAAAAAAUUGUAUUGAUCCAUACAUUUUUUAAAAAGUUAUAGCACUUUAAAGUAAAAAAUGUAAAUUAUAAAAUCGAAAAUUUUCACACAAAAAUAGCAUUCGGUAGCCGUUUUCACCAUGAAGACAAGUCCAGAGGUCAAAUUUUUUUUUUUUCAAAUUAAAGUAUAUUACAUUAGCUUUAA